ACAAUCUACGUCCGUGGGACUUUGUUCGACGUUUGCAUCUAACCUCUCAAAAGAUGCACUAUUUCUUUCAAUCACAUCAAAUCAGAUGGCAAAUCUAACAAUAAAAACAUGUUGAUCAAAUUGCUUCAAUUUUGAAGAGAAAACAGAGCGUUAAAAGUGAAAACCCAGCGACUGCAUGAGAACUCAACAGUAAGAAUGAAGACAAAGCUCGCCGAAAUUGUCGCCGAAGGAGAGCAUCAGGGCUUUCAGACACAGCAGUAAUAUGAUGCACUGGAUGCUACGGGCUGGUCAAGGAGCAAAGAAGAAGAUACAGUAGUUUGCCAUAUGAUUGACUACCUUUUUUUUGUAAUUACUAAAAGGUUAUUUGGGAAUGUUUUGUAUGUGCUAAUGUUUACUGUAGGACAAGCAGGCAUCCCUCUUAAAAAAAGCAUUUCCAUCAAACACAUUUUUUUGUAAUUGCUAAAAGGUUAUUUGGGAAUGUUUUGUAUGUGCUGAUGUUUACUGUAAGACAAGCAGGCAUCCCUCUUGAAAAAAAGCAUUUCCAUUAAACACGGGCUAGUCUUUUCUUAUUCUUAGAGUUUCAUUGAUCUAAAUAAUUGGAUUAUAGGAUAUCCUAUCGAUAGAGAUAGCUUAGUGAAUUUGAUUGUACAUUUAAAGUUAAAUAAAGUGUGUAUUUAUUGUA